rnacentral:pre_miRNA from 2 species
CGUGUUCACAGCGGACCUUGAUUUAAUUUCAUACAAUUAAGGCACGCGGUGAAUGCCAA